CUAAAUUAAAUUAAUGUUCGAUGAUACAAAAUUUAAUCUAAAACACUCAAACACCGAAAUCAAUUUAAAUCCACAACAUUUGCAGUCUUAUAGAUGGUCAUGUAAAUAAGAUAUUUGGAUUCGACAAAUUCAAAAUAGAAAUGUGAAAUAUCGGGCCGAUCAAGGAAACUUCAAACGCCAGUAGUUCUUCCGUCUUGAUUCUCGACUAUUGAUGGUGUGGAUAGUGGAGGAUGGAAGUAAAAGGAGAAAUCAUAUCCACAUGCAGAGCUGUAGUCAACAUAACCGCAUAACCGAAAUACGGAUCAAUCAGAAACAAAAUCUCAUCGAGAUGCACAAAGUUCGAGUCAAUAAAGAUUAUUUGAUAUAACUUAUGUAACUACCAAAAGAUAAUAUUUUAUAUAUAAUAUAAGAAAAAGAUAUUCGAAUACCAAAUUAUGACGUGGGACCGGAAUAAAUCGUAAAAAUACCAAUAAAAUGUAAUACCGCUAUCUCCAUAAUAUCCGAUAUCAGUCGUAUCAAGUGCUGGGUGAAUCGGUUAAUGAUGUACAAUACACAGACCUACAUUUUAGGAGAUACUUAACCAGAAAACGGUGGAAUGAUGGGACGAAGAACUCCGUAACAACAUCUCAAGUAAUUUUAAUUUCAGGCUCUUUUAACAAUUUUUAAAUCACACAACAACAUAGACCGUUUUCAGACGAUUUGCUUCGGAAGUCGUUUUCGCCACAACAUAAAAUCGUCAAACAAAAGCGUGUUAUUUCAGAGUACCAGAAACCUGAUUCAAUUUCAAAUAAUAUGGUUUAAUAUUUAAAAAACCUCCGCUUCAAGACACAUUUCGUGCCGAUGAUGAUACAUAAUUAUUAUGAACGCUAAUUACAUAUUAUAAUUAUUUACAUGUCUGCAGGGAUCGUCCAUAUAAUAACCGAAAAUAUUACAACAACUGUGUAUUAGGAUGAUACUGCUAUAAUAUUAUAACAUUAAUAUAGGUAGAAUGAUAAAUGAUUUUGUACUUUACAAUUAGUAAAAAAAUAUUUAGGUCUAUACAUGUUUGCUUCAAAGUUCCAUCUUGUUUAUAUCGUUCCAUUGUCCAUUUCAAUGCACCCCAUGACAUCACCAUGUAUACGCACAACGAACCCUUAAGGCCUCUAGAUCGAUUGCGAAUGCAAAUGCUAUACCUUAAAUGAUUUUUUUAUGGAUCUAUAAUUUUAAAUAAUUUCUUUAUUAUAAAUUAUUGUAAUUGUAUAUUAUAUGCUAUCUUAAAUUUUGUUUGUUAUAUUAAUAGUCAUAUUGGACCUUGUUUAACAAUGGUGCAAUAGUAGUUCAACAAUAAUGUAUUUUUGUUGGUAUUCAUAGAUGAUAAACUUUACUUAAACCCUAGACUGAGUUUAACGAUAAACCUUUGAUUUAAAAACUAGGCAAAUACGAGGUUUAAUGCUGGAUUAUUGUAAAAACCACUGUUAUCUUAUUAUCAUUUAAUUUAUUAAUGUUUUGAAAACUUGUGCACUUUAUACCUAAGAAUAAUGAAUAUUGCUAAUGUACAAAAUGUUAGACGCAUAAGGAAUUUAAGCAAUUUCUCCCAACCACUUUCUCCCAGUUAACUCUUUUUUGUUUAUACAUCGCAAAAAACAAUUACGCGAUUUAAAUUAUAAUUUUGAAUAAAUAACAUACAAUUAAUAAACUU